rfam:Myotis lucifugus cont2.34637, whole genome shotgun sequence.
GUCGGUUCUCAGGUGACACACACUGUAAUUGGGCUCCCUCCUCUCUGGUUCCGGGUGUGUCACCCUAGAACCGCA